rnacentral:rRNA from 1 species
GACGAACCGUGCGAACGUUGUUCGGAAUCACUAGGCUUAAAGGGCGCGUAGGCGGGCGAGCAAGUCCGGGGUGAAAGCCCCCGGCCCAACCGGGGAAGUGCCUUGGAUACUGCUCGCCUUGAGGGAGGUAGGGGCUUGUGGAACUUCCGGUGGAGCGGUGAAAUGCGUUGAUAUCGGAAGGAACGCCGGUGGCGAAAGCGACAAGCUGGCCCUCUUCUGACGCUGAGGCGCGAAAGCCAGGGGAGCAAACGGG